rnacentral:rRNA from 1 species
GGGUUGUGAGGUUAAGCGACUAAGCGUACACGGUGGAUGCCCUGGCAGUCAGAGGCGAUGAAGGACGUGCUAAUCUGCGAUAAGCGUCGGUAAGGUGAUAUGAACCGUUAUAACCGGCGAUUUCCGAAUGGGGAAACCCAGUGUGUUUCGACACACUAUCAUUAACUGAAUCCAUAGGUUAAUGAGGCGAACCGGGGGAACUGAAACAUCUAAGUACCCCGAGGAAAAGAAAUCAACCGAGAUUCCCCCAGUAGCGGCGAGCGAACGGGGAGCAGCCCAGAGCCUGAAUCAGUGUGUGUGUUAGUGGAAGCGUCUGGAAAGGCGCGCGAUACAGGGUGACAGCCCCGUACACAAAAAUGCACAUGCUGUGAGCUCGAUGAGUAGGGCGGGACACGUGGUAUCCUGUCUGAAUAUGGGGGGACCAUCCUCCAAGGCUAAAUACUCCUGACUGACCGAUAGUGAACCAGUACCGUGAGGGAAAGGCGAAAAGAACCCCGGCGAGGGGAGUGAAAAAGAACCUGAAACCGUGUACGUACAAGCAGUGGGAGCACGCUUCGGCGUGUGACUGCGUACCUUUUGUAUAAUGGGUCAGCGACUUAUAUUCUGUAGCAAGGUUAACCGAAUAGGGGAGCCGAAGGGAAACCGAGUCUUAACUGGGCGUUAAGUUGCAGGGUAUAGACCCGAAACCCGGUGAUCUAGCCAUGGGCAGGUUGAAGGUUGGGUAACACUAACUGGAGGACCGAACCGACUAAUGUUGAAAAAUUAGCGGAUGACUUGUGGCUGGGGGUGAAAGGCCAAUCAAACCGGGAGAUAGCUGGUUCUCCCCGAAAGCUAUUUAGGUAGCGCCUCGUGAAUUCAUCUCCGGGGGUAGAGCACUGUUUCGGCAAGGGGGUCAUCCCGACUUACCAACCCGAUGCAAACUGCGAAUACCGGAGAAUGUUAUCACGGGAGACACACGGCGGGUGCUAACGUCCGUCGUGAAGAGGGAAACAACCCAGACCGCCAGCUAAGGUCCCAAAGUCAUGGUUAAGUGGGAAACGAUGUGGGAAGGCCCAGACAGCCAGGAUGUUGGCUUAGAAGCAGCCAUCAUUUAAAGAAAGCGUAAUAGCUCACUGGUCGAGUCGGCCUGCGCGGAAGAUGUAACGGGGCUAAACCAUGCACCGAAGCUGCGGCAGCGACGCUGAUGCGUUGUUGGGUAGGGGAGCGUUCUGUAAGCCUGCGAAGGUGUGCUGUGAGGCAUGCUGGAGGUAUCAGAAGUGCGAAUGCUGACAUAAGUAACGAUAAAGCGGGUGAAAAGCCCGCUCGCCGGAAGACCAAGGGUUCCUGUCCAACGUUAAUCGGGGCAGGGUGAGUCGACCCCUAAGGCGAGGCCGAAAGGCGUAGUCGAUGGGAAACAGGUUAAUAUUCCUGUACUUGGUGUUACUGCGAAGGGGGGACGGAGAAGGCUAUGUUGGCCGGGCGACGGUUGUCCCGGUUUAAGCGUGUAGGCUGGUUUUCCAGGCAAAUCCGGAAAAUCAAGGCUGAGGCGUGAUGACGAGGCACUACGGUGCUGAAGCAACAAAUGCCCUGCUUCCAGGAAAAGCCUCUAAGCAUCAGGUAACAUCAAAUCGUACCCCAAACCGACACAGGUGGUCAGGUAGAGAAUACCAAGGCGCUUGAGAGAACUCGGGUGAAGGAACUAGGCAAAAUGGUGCCGUAACUUCGGGAGAAGGCACGCUGAUAUGUAGGUGAGGUCCCUCGCGGAUGGAGCUGAAAUCAGUCGAAGAUACCAGCUGGCUGCAACUGUUUAUUAAAAACACAGCACUGUGCAAACACGAAAGUGGACGUAUACGGUGUGACGCCUGCCCGGUGCCGGAAGGUUAAUUGAUGGGGUCAGCGCAAGCGAAGCUCUUGAUCGAAGCCCCGGUAAACGGCGGCCGUAACUAUAACGGUCCUAAGGUAGCGAAAUUCCUUGUCGGGUAAGUUCCGACCUGCACGAAUGGCGUAAUGAUGGCCAGGCUGUCUCCACCCGAGACUCAGUGAAAUUGAACUCGCUGUGAAGAUGCAGUGUACCCGCGGCAAGACGGAAAGACCCCGUGAACCUUUACUAUAGCUUGACACUGAACAUUGAGCCUUGAUGUGUAGGAUAGGUGGGAGGCUUAGAAGUGUGGACGCCAGUCUGCAUGGAGCCGACCUUGAAAUACCACCCUUUAAUGUUUGAUGUUCUAACGUUGACCCGUAAUCCGGGUUGCGGACAGUGUCUGGUGGGUAGUUUGACUGGGGCGGUCUCCUCCUAAAGAGUAACGGAGGAGCACGAAGGUUGGCUAAUCCUGGUCGGACAUCAGGAGGUUAGUGCAAUGGCAUAAGCCAGCUUGACUGCGAGCGUGACGGCGCGAGCAGGUGCGAAAGCAGGUCAUAGUGAUCCGGUGGUUCUGAAUGGAAGGGCCAUCGCUCAACGGAUAAAAGGUACUCCGGGGAUAACAGGCUGAUACCGCCCAAGAGUUCAUAUCGACGGCGGUGUUUGGCACCUCGAUGUCGGCUCAUCACAUCCUGGGGCUGAAGUAGGUCCCAAGGGUAUGGCUGUUCGCCAUUUAAAGUGGUACGCGAGCUGGGUUUAGAACGUCGUGAGACAGUUCGGUCCCUAUCUGCCGUGGGCGCUGGAGAACUGAGGGGGGCUGCUCCUAGUACGAGAGGACCGGAGUGGACGCAUCACUGGUGUUCGGGUUGUCAUGCCAAUGGCACUGCCCGGUAGCUAAAUGCGGAAGAGAUAAGUGCUGAAAGCAUCUAAGCACGAAACUUGCCCCGAGAUGAGUUCUCCCUGACUCCUUGAGAGUCCUGAAGGAACGUUGAAGACGACGACGUUGAUAGGCCGGGUGUGUAAGCGCAGCGAUGCGUUGAGCUAACCGGUACUAAUGAACCGUGAGGCUUAACCUUACAACGCCGAAGGUGUUU